rnacentral:rRNA from 1 species
AGUGAACGCUGGCGGUAGGCCUAACACAUGCAAGUCGAACGGCAGCACAGUAAGAGCUUGCUCUUACGGGUGGCGAGUGGCGGACGGGUGAGGAAUACAUCGGAAUCUACUUUUUCGUGGGGGAUAACGUAGGGAAACUUACGCUAAUACCGCAUACGACCUACGGGUGAAAGCAGGGGAUCUUCGGACCUUGCGCGAUUGAAUGAGCCGAUGUCGGAUUAGCUAGUUGGCGGGGUAAAGGCCCACCAAGGCGACGAUCCGUAGCUGGUCUGAGAGGAUGAUCAGCCAAACUGGAACUGAGACACGGUCCAGACUCCUACGGGAGGCAGCAGUGGGGAAUAUUGGACAAUGGGCGCAAGCCUGAUCCAGCCAUACCGCGUGGGUGAAGAAGGCCUUCGGGUUGUAAAGCCCUUUUGUUGGGAAAGAAAAGCAGCAGGUUAAUACCCCGCUGUUUUGACGGUACCCAAAGAAUAAGCACCGGCUAACUUCGUG